GAAAAAGGCUAGACCUAUUAAUUCAGAAACCUAGAAGGACCAAAGAUUUGCAGUCUGAGCAGCUGGAUUGCUUCCUGUCACUAUUCUGUCCUUGGAGACAUUUGGCCCAUUAAAGGGAGCCCACGGAUUCCAUUUCAACAGAUGCUCCUCACAUUUAUUCAGGAUCUAAGUGAUAGGGUGACUCAUUGUGUUGCUAAUACAAUUACAGUCUUUGUUGUUUAAGAAUCAUAUCUUGAUUUCAUAUAGGCGAAGAGAUUUAAAAGAACAAUGUAUGUGUGACACUGUCAGAGAAACUAGAUUGUUCCUACUUGGAAAUAAAAUGCAUAGUUUGUUAUUUGACUUAUAGCCUUAGGAGAAUGCACAUAGCAUGUGGGGCUUUCUGAAAUUCAGUAAAAAGUCAUGGAUUCCUAAGUUUGUGAUUGAAAAACUCAUCAGGGGGUGCUGUAAGUAGCUGGCUGCUGGGAAAUAAAAAAGGAGGAAAGAACUUGUUGACUUUCUUUCAUAUUUGGCACAAAUUCUACCUUUACGUCAGUAAAAGAUUCUGGCAAGGACAGUAUUUGAAUUUUAGUUGUGAUUGCUCUUGGACCAAGGCAUAUAUAUAAAUAUAUAUUUUCCAAAGAUAAUUUUUGAAUGGACUUUAUUAAGCUAUUCCUGUUUCUCCUUCAAAAAUGUCUGUCCUCUGCCUCUUUACCUUUUUUUUUUUCCCUCUACUUUUGACUCCCAAUUUCUGUAGGGACUAUUGAGAUAGGAGGAAGAGUGAGUAGGCUGGAGUGAGAGAACUGCUUAUUCUUCCUUAGACUCCUUUUCUGGGGCUCAAAAGUAUGUUUAGCUGGUUAUAGAAAAGAAAGUGCUUAUCUUCUUCGGGGUCUUAUCAUACAUGGAUAAGCAGAAAAGGUAUCCCUGUGAUUUUUCUGUAAGGCCUGAAUUUAUAAAUAAUUUAAGAAAAGAUCUGAGUUUGAAUCCCAGUUCAGCUACUUACUAGUUGAGUGACCCAGAGCAAAUUAUUCUCUUAAUAAGAGACAUUUUUCUUAAAAUGGAGAUAUGAUAGUACCCACCUCAUAGGAUGAUCAAAGGGGUAUGAAAUGAUGUGACUGUGACAUAUUUGGUACCCGAUAAAUGUUAGCUCUUCUUAUAUUUAUACUAUCAAGCCUGAUUUGUGGCUAAAUGCAUAAAAGUUAUGGAAUAUUAGGAAGCCAGCUCCAGUGAACUAAAUGAGAAGGAAGAGGGGAUAUAGUUUUGACAUGUGGCCUAUUAUUCGAUUUCUGCUGGCCCAGUAAUCUCAAACAUAAAUAACUAUAUACCAAUAAUAGAAUUAGGCAUUUUUUUAAAGAAUGUAUUAAUAAUAAUUUGAUUUAACAAUAAGCAGAGAAUAAAAGCAUGUCACAUAGGUAAACGGAAUUAAGAUGAAGUAAGAAUUAUUGACUUGAGGUGGGCAAAAUCUUGAUGUUUUGUGCUUAAGAGUGUUACCAGAAAGCCAUACACUUUGGAGAUAGAUAUAGCUGGGUUCAAAUCCCAAUUCCUGGAGUUACUAGUUGUGCAAAUUAAGGAUGUUUUCAUUUUCUUUUCUGUAAUAUAUGGCUAAAUAUACCUCCCCAGAAGAUUGAAAAUACUAAAUGGCAUAAGACCUGAAGUAAUACAACUCCUAGAAUAGAACAUAGGGGAAAAGCUCCUUGAUAUUAACCUUGGCAAUGAUUUUUGGGACAUAAUACCAAAACCUCAGGCUACAAAGGCAAGAAUAAAUAAUUAGGAGUACAUAAAACUGGAAAGCUUCUGUGCAGUAAAGGAAACAAUCAACAAAAUGAAAAGGCAACCUAUGGACUGAGAAAAAAUAUUUGCAAACCACAUGUCUGAUAAGGGGUUAAUAUCCAAAAUUUAUAAGGAACUCUUACAAGUCAAUAGCAGAAAAACAAAUAACCAGGUUUGAAAAUGGACAAAUACCUGAACAGACAUUUUUUUGAAGAAGACAUAAAAAUGGCCAACAGAUGUAUGAAAAUGUGUUAAGCAUCGCCAAUCAUCAAGGAAACACACACGAAUAGCACCAUGAAAUAUCACCUGACACCCAUUAGGAUAGCUAUUAUUAAAAAGACAAGAAAUAACAAAUGUUGGUGAGGGUGUGGAGAAACGGAAAUCCUGAACCACCAUAAGACCCAGCAAUCCAUCUUCUGGGCGUUUACCCAAAGGAUAUAAAAUCAUCAUCUUGUAAAGACAUCUGUACUCUUAUGUUUUUUGCAGUGUUAUUCAUAAUAGCUAAAAUAUAGAAACAACCUAUAUAUCCCUUGACAGACAAAUGGAUUAAGAAAAUAUGGUAAUGUAUAAAUACAAUGGAAUGUUAUUCAGCCUUAUAAAAGAAGGAGAGCCUGCCAUUUUCCACAACAUGGAUGAACAUGGACAAUAUUAUGUCAAGUGAAAGAAGCAAGACACGGAAAGAAAAAAUAUUGCAUGAGCUUACUUAUGCAACAUGCAAUAUUUAUGCAUAUGCAAAAAUAUUCAAUAUUUAUGUGGACUAUUAAAAAAAGUCAGAUAUACAGAGUAGAGAUAUAAAAAACAAUACAGCAGAUACUAAGAACCAGAAGAGGAGAGAGGUAAUGAGGAGAUGCAGGUCAAAAGAUAGAAAGUAGCAGAUAUGUGGGAUGAACAAGUCUAGAGAUCUAAUGUACAACAUGAUGACUGUAGUUAAUAGAAUUGUAUUGUACUAGGGAGUUUUAAGGGGAUUUUAGCUCCUCUUGCUACAAAAAAUAAAGUAACUAUGUGCAAUGAUAGCUAUGUUAAUCAGUUUCACUAUAGUAACCAUUUUAUUAUCUAUGUGUAUCUCAUAAUAUUAUGUUGUAAACUUCAAAUAUAUGCAAAAAAAUGUAUUUUAAAAAGAAUAAAUAUCUGUACAGGAAAUAAAAAGGGAAAG
rnacentral:lncRNA from 1 species